UACGAAGGGCGCAAGCGUUGUUCGGAUUUAUUGGGCGUAAAGCGCGCGCAGGCGGAAUGAUAAGUCAGAUGUGAAAUCUCGGAGCUCAACUUCGAAACUGCGUCUGAAACUACCGUUCUAGAAUAUCAUAGGGGGAUGGGGAAUUUCGCAUGUAGGGGUAAAAUCCGUAGAGAUGCGAAGGAACACCAGAGACGAAAGUGCCAUCCUGGAUGAUUAUUGACGCUGAGGCGCGAAAGCGUGGGGAGCAAACAGG
rnacentral:rRNA from 1 species